rnacentral:rRNA from 1 species
GUGCAGAGCAUGCCUCAGUACGGCGAGUGAAGCGGCAAAAGCUCAAAUUUUAAAGCUGACAUCUUCGGUGUCCGCGUUGUAAUUUUGUGAGGCAUCUCCGGGUAGGGCGCCGGCCUAAGUUCCUUGGAACAGGACGUCACAGAGGGUGAGAAUCCCGUGCUUGGCUGGCUGUCCCCGUCCAUGUGAGGUGUCUUCGACGAGUCGAGUUGUUUGGGAAUGCAGCUCAAAAUGGGUGGUAAAUUUCAUCUAAAGCUAAAUAUUGGUGGGAGACCGAUAGCGCACAAGUAGAGUGAUCGAAAGAUGAAAAGCACUUUGAAAAUAGAGUUAAAAAGUACGUGAAAUUGUUGAAAGGGAAGCGCUUGAGAUCAGACUUCGGUAAGGGGUGAUCAGCCGUCCUUCUGGGCGGUGCACUUGCCCCCCUCCGGGCCAGCAUCGGUUGAGGCGGCGGGAUAAAGGUCCCGGGAAUGUGGCUCCUUCACGGGAGUGUUAUAGCCCGGGUGAAUGCCGCCAGCUUCGACCGAGGACCGCACCCGCAAGGGUUAGGAUGCUUGGCAUAAUGGUCUUCAGCGACCCGUCUUGAAACACCGGACCAAGAGG